rnacentral:tRNA from 1 species
GGCCCGUUGGUCAAGCGGUUAAGACGUAGGCCUCUCACGCCUGAAUCACGAGUUCGAUUCUCGUACGGGUCACCA